UAGUGAGUUUGAUCCUGGCUCAGGACGAACGCUGGCGGCGUGCUUAACACAUGCAAGUCGAACGGUGACCUCGAGAGCUUGCUCUUGGGUGAACAGUGGCGAACGGGUGAGUAACACGUGAGUAACCUGCCCCUGACUCUGGAAUAAGCGCUGGAAACGGCGUCUAAUACCGGAUACGAGACGCGACCGCAUGGUCAGUGUCUGGAAAGUUUUUCGGCUGGGAUGGACUCGCGGCCUAUCAGCUUGUUGGUGAGGUAAUGGCUCACCGAAGGCGAUGACGGGUA
rnacentral:rRNA from 1 species